GAUAAAGGAAAGCAAAAUAAAACAUCAAGUCAGUAAUGCCGAAUCAUGUAUUUCUGCUUCCUAAACUCAACAUUUCCAAUCAACAGACCGAAACUCAUCAGAUAACAAAGAAUGAUGGACUAUUAUUCAAAAUAAAAGAAAAUGUACGCCUAGAAGUCGCAGACCGGCGCCAAUAAGAGGUUUUCACCACUUAGUGGAUGCAACAGCUGUCAGGGCUUAUUGAAAGGAAAAUGGGUUAAAAGCAGUAAUUAUUUGCCAAAUUAUGUAUAUAAAAAUAGAUGAUCAAAGCUCCUCCAGAUCUAAAAACCGAGAUUAUCGAUUCAACUCUGGCCAUUUAGCAUCUCUGUCAGCCACUUUAUGAAUAUUCAGAGGCAUUACGAGUUGCAGAAAAUAAAGUAAGGAAGCUGUUGCAGAAUACGCCUAUUACUUACAUAAGCAAGUUUGAACGAAAAAUGAUGAUAAAAUGUAAAAUUAAUUAAUUUUGGUUUUUUAGUUUG